rnacentral:rRNA from 1 species
GCAAGUCGAACGGUAACGGGACUAGCUUGCUAGUUGCCGACGAGUGGCGGACGGGUGCGUAACGCGUAGAAAUCUACCUGUUAGUUGGGGAUAACCUUUGGAAACAGAGGCUAAUACCGAAUAUGAUUUUCGAAUUAAAGGCUGCCACUCCGUGGAAGCAGUCGCUAACAGAUGAGUCUGCGUUGGAUUAGCUUGUUGGUGGGGUAAAGGCCUACCAAGGCGACGAUCCAUAGCUGGUUUGAGAGGAUGAUC